AGUACAGAGACAGAAGUCCGAGAGAAACUCUGCUCUCACAUUUUAAUGAACUGUUACUUGUCUUUCUCCUCUUUUCCUUCUGCAUUAUUAGAAAUGUAAAGUUAAUGUUUUAUUUUAAAACUAAGCGUCAGAGUUUCAUUGUCGUUUUGGAUGUGAAGAUGGACCAAACCUUGCGUUGUGUGCUGGGGUUUUUCUUGCUGAAUUUGAUCCCCCACGGAUUGGCUCAAGGUAACCGUCCCCGUGUGACCACAACAUCCAACUGGCCUGAAACAUUCUGGACUGAGACGCUCACUCUCAGAUGUGAGAUUGAGGA